rnacentral:rRNA from 1 species
CCUACGGGAGGCAGCAGUGGGGAAUAUUGCACAAUGGGGGAAACCCUGAUGCAGCGACGCCGCGUGAGUGAAGAAGUAUUUCGGUAUGUAAAGCUCUAUCAGCCGGGAAGAAGCAAGACGGUACCUGACUAAAAAGCCCCGGCUAACUACGUGCCAGCAGCCGCGGGAAUACGUAGGGGGCAAGCGUUAUCCGGAUUUACUGGGUGUAAAGGGAGCGUAGACGGGAUGGCAAGUCUGAAGUGAAAGACCAGGGCUGAACCCUGGGACUGCUUUGGAAACUGUUUGACUAGAGUGCUGGAGAGGUAAGUGGAAUGCCUAGUGUAGCGGUGAAAUGCGUAGAUAUUAGGAGGAACACCAGUGGCGAAGGCGGCUUACUGGACAGUAACUGACGUUGAGGCUCGAAAGCGUGGGGAGCAAACAGGAUUAGAUACCCGGGUAGUC